GAUGAACGCUGGCGGCGUGCCUAAUACAUGCAAGUCGAGCGAACAGACGAGGAGCUUGCUCCUCUGACGUUAGCGGCGGACGGGUGAGUAACGCGUGGAUAACCUACCUAUAAGACUGGGAUAACUUCGGGAAACCGGAGCUAAUACCGGAUAAUAUAUUGAACCGCAUGGUUCAAUAGUGAAAGACGGUUUUGCUGUCACUUAUAGAUGGAUCCGCGCCGCAAUAGCUAGUUGGUAAGGUAACGGCUUACCAAGGCGACGAUGCGUAGCCGACCUGAGAGGGUGAUCGGCCACACUGGAACUGAGACACGGUCCAGACUCCUACGGGAGGCAGCAGUAGGGAAUCUUCCGCAAUGGGCGAAAGCCUGACGGAGCAACGCCGCGUGAGUGAUGAAGGUCUUCGGAUCGUAAAACUCUGUUAUUAGGGAAGAACAAAUGUGUAAGUAACUAUGCACGUCUUGACGGUACCUAAUCAGAAAGCCACGGCUAACUACGUG
rnacentral:rRNA from 1 species